AAUUACAUAUAAAAUGUUAUAAACAGAAAUGUGUAAUGUAUAAGUCACAUAAUUGGGCCGUAGAUGUAAACAUUUUAAAAUAUACUAAAGACUAAGCCCAAUUAUAAUGUUAAAACUGAUUAGUCCGGGAAACAAAUUAACAAACAAACCUAACCAAUUUUUUUUCUUGACUUCACUUCCUUUCUGUCGGUGAAUCAAAAAAAAGACUGUUCAUCUUUUUUGUUCAUCUCUCUGCCAGCGUCAUGUCUUAGCCCAGUGAUCAAAUCCCUGGAGCGAUGUUUGUGAGGAAAAGGAAGAUUCAAUCAUUGAUUUUCUGUGUCUCAGCUAACCUUCUAAUGCGCGAGUGAUUCAAAGAUUGGAGACUAAUGGGUAGCUUUAAACUUGCGACCAGCAAUGAAAGCAGAGGAUGAUGAAUAAGUGAUGAUGAGUGAAAUCACGUGAUGAUGCAAGUGAAUCAGAAUUGAGGAUCUGUCAGAGAUCAAAGGAGGAAAGGAUGAAUAUUUUCAUUAGGCAAAUGAUACAAAGAGAUAAAGUUCUCAAAUGUUAUUAUGGUAUGUACGCAUAGGAGAGUUUUGGGAAAGAAAGAAUAAACUCCCGAUUAAAAAUCUAGACAACACCUUUGUAGACCAGACUCUGCAUUACAGAACACGAUAUAGGUCAUAAAAUAUACCAAUGGUGGCUGCACUCUCGAUUCAUUGAAGGUACAUUCACAACUCUUAUAGUAAUAUAGUUCUUCUUAUGAAUCUCUUAAGUUAAAAACGUUAUGCUCUUGGAACACUUCUUCACUUGUUGUUAAGUUGUUUGUUAGAAUAAGUGAAUAAUAAAUAAUAUUAGGUUGCUUGUGGAAAGACCAGAUCAAAAAAUUUUGCAACAAAAUAAGUGUAGCCAUAAUCUUCACGUGAUUGAAUAAGUAGAGAAGCAAACUUUAUUAAAUAAAUUGAUGAGGAAAUUUCAAAUGUAACAAAACACAUACGGAAAAAAAAACAAAACACCAAAGUCAUAAAACACCUAAAUAAAAAUCAAAGCAAAAUAACAUUUUAUUAGGUUAAGCACUCAUCACUAAUCAGUCCUUGGCUUUCUCCUUCUUUACGAUCUUAGUGCAUAACUUCUUAGAAGUAGAUGUCAUGUCCAUUUGAUCACACUCAUCUUCCUUACGUUUGUUACUUGGGGUGGAAAAAUCUUCAGAUGAGUUCUCAUUGAUAUGAUCAAUCCCAG